GGGAAACUGCCUGAUGGAGGGGGAUAACUACUGGAAACGGUAGCUAAUACCGCAUAACGUCGCAAGACCAAAGAGGGGGACCUUCGGGCCUCUUGCCAUCAGAUGUGCCCAGAUGGGAUUAGCUAGUAGGUGGGGUAACGGCUCACCUAGGCGACGAUCCCUAGCUGGUCUGAGAGGAUGACCAGCCACACUGGAACUGAGACACGGUCCAGACUCCUACGGGAGGCAGCAGUGGGGAAUAUUGCACAAUGGGCGCAAGCCUGAUGCAGCCAUGCCGCGUGUGUGAAGAAGGCCUUCGGGUUGUAAAGUACUUUCAGCGGGGAGGAAGGUGUUGAGGUUAAUAACCUCAGCAAUUGACGUUACCCGCAGAAGAAGCACCGGCUAACUCCGUGCCAGCAGCCGCGGUAAUACGGAGGGUGCAAGCGUUAAUCGGAAUUACUGGGCGUAAAGCGCACGCAGGCGGUCUGUCAAGUCGGACGUGAAAUCCCCGGGCUCAACCUGGGAACUGCAUUCGAAACUGGCAGGCUAGAGUCUUGUAGAGGGGGGUAGAAUUCCAGGU
rnacentral:rRNA from 1 species